rnacentral:misc_RNA from 1 species
CCUUGCCCCGGAUGGCAGCGAAAACCCCGAAUUUUGAAAAGCCUGAUUUUCCUGGCAUUUUGCGGCGACCGGCGGAAGCCCGCAAAAAUGGCGUUGGAAAAACAGCUUUUAAAAAGAGGCGUUGCAGCGUACAGCCGGAUUAGGC